rnacentral:rRNA from 1 species
UUACACUUAAAAGGAGCAGGUAUCAGGCACGACCUGUCAGCCCAAAACACCUUGCUACGCCACACCCACAUGGGUACUCAGCAGUAAUUGAUAUUAAGCAAUGAGUAAAAGCCACCUUAAGCUCGACUUAGUUAUGAUCACUAGGGCCGGUUAACCUCGUGCCAGCCACCGCGGUUAUACGAAGGGCCCAAAACAGCAGACACCGGCGUAAAUUGUGACUAGAGACACCACCUUAAACAGGAAGAAAUAAACCACACCCUAACCGUAAAACAUAGGCUAAAUGAAACCCUCCACUCUUCUUACACAAGGUUGCUUGAACCCACGAAAACUAAGAAACAAACUAGGAUUAGACACCCUACUAUGCUUAGACGUAAACAAGACACUACACAACUAAAGUGUCCGCCAGAGAAUUACAAGCGAAAAGCUUAAAACUCAAAGGACUUGGCGGUGCUCCGUACUCAACUUAGAGGAGCCUGUCCUAUAAUCGAUACUCCACGAUAAACCCUACCAUCUUUUGCCAACCCAGCCUAUAUACCGCCGUCGAAAACUUACCCCCUGAGGGAUAAAAAGUAAGUAAAAUAGUUAAUCACUAACACGUCAGGUCAAGGUGUAGCUUACAAGAUGGCAGAGAUGGGCUACAUUUUCUAACAAGAACACACGGCAAUGGGCCAUGAAAUACCCCCACGAAGGCGGAUUUAACAGUAAGAUAAUUAAGAAAAAU